rnacentral:ncRNA from 1 species
ACCCCUGUGAGAAUGCCCUACAGUUUCCCCUCCGGAAACAAGGAACUGGUAUCAGGCACACCAUAUUCACCGCCCACGACGCCUUGCUCCUGCCACACCCUCAAGGGAAUCCAGCAGUAAUAAAUUUUAAGCCAUGAGUGAAAACUUGACUUAGCUACAGCUAUUAGGGCCGGUUAAACUCGUGCCAGCCACCGCGGUUAUACGAGAGGCCCAAGUUGAUAGCCUUCGGCGUAAAGAGUGGUUAAGUUAGCCCUAGCUAUACUAAAGUCGAACACACCCAAAACUGUGAUACGUUCUCGGAGAAAUGAAGCCCAACUACGAAAGUGACUUUAAAGCAUCUGACCCCACGAAAGCUGUGAAACAAACUGGGAUUAGAUACCCCACUAUGCCCAGCCCUAAACUUUGAUAAUUUAGUACACUAAUUAUCCGCCUGGGUACUACAAGCAUAAGCUCAAAACCCAAAGGACUUGGCGGCGCUUAAGAUCCAUCUAGAGGAGCCUGUUCUUGAACCGAUACCCCCCGUUGUACCUCACCCUCUUUCGCCCCAACCGCCUAUAUACCGCCGUCGUCAGCCUACCCUGUGAGGGAAUAAUAGUAAGCAAGAUUAGCAUGGCCCAAAACGUCAGGUCGAGGUGUAGCGUAUGAGAGGGCUAGAAAUGGGCUACAUUCCCUUUUACAGGGAACUACGAACUAUGAAUUGAAAAAUUCGUCAUGAAGGAGGAUUUAGCAGUAAAUGAAAAACAGAGAGUUUCAUUGAAACCGGCUCUAAAGCACGCACACACCGCCCGUCACUCUCCCCUAAAAGAACUACCAAAUAGUUAAUUACCCUAAUAAAACACAGGGGAGGCAAGUCGUAACAUGGUAAGUGUACCGGAAGGUGCACUUGGUUAAAC